rnacentral:rRNA from 1 species
GACGAACGCUGGCGGCGUGCUUAACACAUGCAAGUCGAACGGUGAAGGGACCGGUUUUUGCUGGUUCUGGAUGAGUGGCGAACGGGUGAGUAACACGUGAGUAACCUGCCCCCUUCUUCUGGAUAACCGCAUGAAAGUGUGGCUAAUACGGGAUAUUCUGCGCCUGCUGCAUGGUGGGUGUGGGAAAGAUAUUGUUUCGGUGGGGGAUGGGCUCGCGGCCUAUCAGCUUGUUGGUGGGGUGAUGGCCUACCAAGGCGGUGACGGGUAGCCGGCCUGAGAGGGUGGACGGUCACACUGGGACGGAGACACGGCCCAGACUCCUACGGGAGGCAGCAGGGGGGAAUAUUGCACAAUGGGCGCAAGCCUGAUGCAGCGACGCCGCGUGAGGGAUGGAGGCCUUCGGGUUGUAAACCUCUUUCGCCAGUGAAGCAGGACUGUCCCUUGUGUGGGUGGGUUGACGGUAGCUGGAUAAGAAGCGCCGGCUAACUACGUG